rnacentral:rRNA from 1 species
UUAAGCAAUCUAUACGGUGAAACUGCGAAUGGCUCAUUAAAUCAGUUAUCGUUUAUUUGAUAGUACCUUACUACUUGGAUAACCGUGGUAAUUCUAGAGCUAAUACAUGCUAAAAACCUCGACUUCGGAAGGGGUGUAUUUAUUAGAUAAAAAACCAAUGCCCUCCGGGGCUCCUUUGGUGAUUCAUGAUAACUCGACGAAUCGCAUGGCCUUGCGCCGGCGAUGGUUCAUUCAAAUUUCUGCCCUAUCAACUUUCGAUGGUAGGAUAGUGGCCUACCAUGGUUUCAACGGGUAACGGGGAAUUAGGGUUCUAUUCCGGAGAGGGAGCCUGAGAAACGGCUACCACAUCCAAGGAAGGCAGCAGGCGCGCAAAUUACCCAAUCCCGACACGGGGAGGUAGUGACAAUAAAUACUGAUGCGGAGCUCUUUAGGGUUUCGCAAUUGGAAUGAGUACAAUUUAAAUCCCUUAACGAGGAACAAUUGGAGGGCAAGUCUGGUGCCAGCAGCCGCGGUAAUUCCAGCUCCAAUAGCGUAUAUUAAAGUUGUUGCAGUUAAAAAGCUCGUAGUUGAACCUUGGGCCUGGCUGGCCGGUCCGCCUCACCGCGUGCACUGGUCCGGCCGGGCCUUUCCUUCCGGGGAGCCGCAUGCCCUUCACUGGGUGUGCCGGGGAACCGGGACUUUUACUUUGAAAAAAUUAGAGUGUUCAAAGCAGGCAUAUGCUCGGAUACAUUAGCAUGGAAUAAUGGAAUAGGACGUGUGGUUCUAUUUUGUUGGUUUCUAGGACCGCCGUAUG